CACAAAACUGUUCAAGCAAAGAAACUAGCAAACCCAUCAACCACAUUUUCUACACAGAGAAAACAAAAGAAAAUAUAAAGAAACUCAUAUAUAAAAAUCCCUCCUCCAUCCAUGUCCUUCUUCCUCAACAAACACAAACCCUAAUCUCCAUUUCUACAUUAACCAUGUCCUUGAGUCCCCACCACCCUCGAGUUACACUCAAUGGCAACCCAAGAACGCCAACGUUUGAUUACUUAUGGUGCCAAACUUGCAGACGACCCUUAAGGUUCACGUUCACCUCCAUGAACCCACAUGAAAACUUCUGUCCUCGUUGCUUUAAUGUGCUGAGCCAUGUGCCUGAAAUAUCAAGGCCUCUGCGGCUAGACCUGACCCAUUUUGAACCCCCUCCGGCUUCACGGUUGGUGGACUCGUUAGCACUAAUGAUUCCUCCUUCAAUAAGGAGGAGAUAUCCUGAAUUUGAUAGAAGAAUUCGUCGGGAAUCUGAUCCUCCUCUUCGACAAAGACUACCCAUGAGUGCACCACCACAUGCGGUGGUUCCCGGCCAUAUUGAUAUGGCUGAUAAUGACAGACCAGUGCCUCCUGCGCCAGCUUCAGCCAUUGAGACGCUGCCAAUGGUGAAGAUAACACAGGAACAUUUGAUGAAGGACACGAAUUGUCCUGUGUGUAAGGAUGAAUUUGAGGUUGAUGUGGAGGUGAGGGAGCUUCCAUGCAAGCAUUUUUAUCAUUCUGAUUGUAUUGUUCCUUGGUUGAACAUACACAAUUCUUGCCCAGUUUGCCGGAAGGCGGUGGUUGAUGGUUUUGAGGAUCAUCUCCGGCUAGAAAAUGUUCAGUCUUUUGGCUUUGAAGAUGUGGCAAAUAGCAUGAAUUGGCUGAGGAACCAGUUCCUUUCUCUGUGGCCUGUACGUGCAUUUUCAGAUUGGACUCAGAGAUCUCUUGAUUUCUUGGACAACAGGGUUUCAUCUUCUAGUGGAGCUAAUUCAUGGUGGCGUUCUUUGUUUAUUUUAUGACUUUGCAUAUCAAUCACUCUUCAUAAUGGAAGCUGUACAAUGCCUUAUAAUUGAAUCAUUUCUUAAGUAGCCAGGCAGGUAUAUCUAAUUUAUGCUAAAAUUUCCAAAAUUGCAAAGCUGAAAAAAGUAUUGAAGCUUAAACAGGUGCUGAAAUGGACAGCAAAAUAAAAUGUUCAGUAUUGGUCUCUGCAGUUUCAAGGAUUCACUUCUAUGCUGGGAUGUACAUUGAUGGAUGAAACAUGAUUUUUCUUGAUGGAGAAGGAAGCAUUGUACUGUUACAGUCUUCACAUAAUGAAGGCUACUUCAGAUUUCAGAAAAUGCAAUCUGAGUUGGAAAGGGGGAUUGAAUUAGUACAUAUAUAUAUUGUAAUUUCCUUCUAUAAUUGGAUUGAUUAAUUAAGUUGAGAGAUUAUGAUUACAGUUAUA